ensembl:lncRNA
AGGAAGGAGGUGCAUGCAGGAGUGCCUGCAUGGGGGGCGGGAGAAAGAGGCUGGGCACUUGCAUCACACUUCAGUCUCCUAAAUAGUGCCAGGUGAAAAAGUAAUUUAAACACUCUAUGACAGAGCCAGACUGUAACCCUUCAAGGUACCUCUGCAAUAUCUGCCAUCCAAGCCACAGAGUGAAACACAAACAAGUGGGAUAACAUCAUGGAUCACAUCCUGUACCUCCUGAGUAUGGCCCAGAUUUCUACCUCUGCGCAAGUGUUUGAUUUCACUGUUGUGCCAGGAGCAAUCUGGGACUCCAGUCCUGUUCCACAUGAAAUAAUGGAAGGAGUUGGAUGUGCAGUGCACAGACCACUGAGUUGCUGCCAGUGCCCUAAAAGGAGGAUGUGCUGUCUGAAGUGCCCCUUGCUAUUAGGUGGCGCUGCUGAACAAAUGGAGCAACAUAUUUUGGUGACAUCUGCAGUACAAACCUGCAAGCUGCAUUACGCCACAAAGCAUGCCAAGCUUCCACCAGCUUACUUCCCUGCUAGCAGUUUGCUCAGCAUGGAGCAGAUUCAUCCCUCUUACCGAGGUCACUAAGUUCCAGGUACGUGUCCCAGAAGAGAAGAAGAACUACAUACCCCAGAGGACUUUGCAUUCAGAGAGGCGGUAUAACCCCUGCCUGUGUGCCCCAGCUUUCCUCUGAGGACCACUGUGGUGCCUGGCCCACAACAAGUGCUGCAUGAGAGCUGCAGCGUGAGAGCUGCUCUGGCCAGAUGCAGCCAUGUCAUCACCAGCUUUCAUCAGCCCCAGCUCUGCUGUCACCAUGGUUCUGGAAGUGCUCAGGUCACCUCGCUCCCGGUUGUUCUGACACAAAAGCAACAAGACACCGAAGGCUGCCUUGACAAAAAGAAGCUGAAAUCCUACAGAAGGGCAAAUAGCGCAAAAGGGGGGCCCCUCCGCUGCUGUCAACCUGUGUUAUGGCUCGACAGAUCCUGCCUUGUGAUUCUGCCCAGUGAGGAUGCCCCGUGGCAUAAGCUCACCAUAUGACUGCACGCUGUGCACAUUGAGCUCUCCAAGAAAGUAAUGAACAUUAACAAUGGAAGUGGAAUCAGAAUCCUAUAAUGCAAGAAAUACUGCUGGGUCAGCUGGACACAGAAGGUGCAUCAGUGAUUUCAGUACCAGCUCUGAAGCACAAGGACGCUGCUGCUUUAUUGGAGAUCAAUUAUUGUCUUGAUAAGAAACAACAUACCAAUCAUCCAAAAUGGAAAUGUGUAUAUACACACAGAUUAAAGAUUUCUGCAAAAUCUAAGAAGAGGAUCCACACCAGGGUGCUGAUCUUUCAGCCUACACUCCAAUACAAGCCUGGACCCAUGAUCAACUCACUCUACUCACCCUUCGCCCAUUUGCACUUCAGGCCAUCACUGUGCAUUUCUUUCACAUCUUAGUCAUUUGAAACACUGUGAUGAACAGGUCGUGCUGAAACAGCAGCCACCACAGGACAUCUACAUUUCAUCCUUGCCCCUCUGUGCAUCAGGCCCUGUGCAUACAUAAUUCUUUCACGGCAUCUGUAAGGCACUGACGUCCAGAGCUUUGCAGAGGAAAGCUUUCUCAUGAUCAAUCUGUCUCUUGAGUGCUCUCUCGCUCCACUUAAGCUCAGUGGGGCCUUUGCUGGUAACAUCAGCUUAGAGUCUACAAGCAAAGCCUCAAUAAAGGACAGCUGGUGGUGGGGAGCCUGUUGCCGAGGCUUCCUUGCUUCAGCUCCAGGAAGUGUUGCACUCACAGGUUCUCAUCCUGAUGGAGGAUUUCAACCACCUGGAUAUCUGCUGGGAAAACAUCACGGGAAGCUGCAAGCAAUCUAGGAGACUUCUGGAGUCCAUCAAUGAUAACAUUCUAGUUCAGGUAUUGGAGAGACU